rnacentral:lncRNA from 1 species
UUGUGACUGUACUAUUUAGUGUCAUUGUUUUAUAGAUACCAUAGUGAGAAAGGAUUCAUUUCGCAACUCCUACGGCUUCCACUAGAUGUCAACGAUCUUUAUAAAGUUGUUUGAAGCGUCUAUGAUGAACAGAGACCGGAUGACAAGGAAGAGAAGUUGACCUCCCUGGGAUGUCGUCACUUCAUUAUUGGCUGCACCUGCGCAAUCAUGUGAUGCGAUACAUUUUUCAAAGACGUUUUUCAAGACACAGGAGAGGUCGGGUUGAAACAUUACUGAUGUUUCACGUUAAAAAUGGCUCUAAAGAUUGAUGCUAAACAACGUUUGACAUGUUUGAACAAUGUAAAUAGAUUAUUUUUUUUACUUUUCGCCGUGACUCCCCCCCGCGCUACUUUUUUAGUAGCCUACCGAAGCGCUAACAACAUGGAACAACUUGGAGUUAUUUGGACAUCAAUUAUGAACUUUGUCAAAAGAAACCACAUUUGUAGUGGACCUGGGAUUUCUAGAAGUGCCAAUGGAUGAAGAUAAUCAAAGUCCAUCUGUGGACGGGUUCCAAGUGGAAGAAAGUUGGUGAUGAAGUAAUUUGAAACUGCAAGAAAACCAGUAUCUGGUGGAAGAGGUCAACUGUUCACUCCAGAGUACGAGACCCACAUUAGAGUCAUGGAGCUAGAAGCAGAUGCAGUGCAUCAUGAGCUAAUAUAUGUGGACGAGGCAGGUUUCAACCUUGCAAAAACAAGGGGACGUGGCAGAAAUAUCAUUGGACACCGUGCCAUCAUCAACAUCCUGGGACAACGUGGUGGCAACAUAACAAUGUGUGUGGCUAUUAGUCAAAAUGGCAUCCUUCACCAUCAUGCAAUCCUAGGCCCAUACAACACUGCACACAUUAUCACAUUUCUGGACACCCUCCACAACAGACUAAUCCCUAAUAACCAGGGGCCAGAGCAGCCCAGGUACGUUAUCAUCUGGGACAAUGUUAGUUUCACUGGGCUGCUGUGGUCCGCAAUUGGUUCACAGGUCACCCACUUUUCAUCGCACUCUAUCUCCCCCCAUACACUCCGUUCUUGAAUCCUAUUGAAGAAUUCUUCUCUGUAUGGAGUUGGAAGGUGUAUGAUCGCCAGCCCCACCAACGCAUACCCCUUCUACAGGCAAUGGAGGAGGCUUGUGGAGACAUCGAUCAGAGGUCAUGCCAGGCCUGGAUACGGCACUCCAGGCGAUACUUUCCACGCUGCCUAACUCAAGACAACAUUGCAUGUGAUGUGGGUGAAAUCGUAUGGCCAGACCCACAAAGAAGGCUAGAUGCAGCCUAAUCUUUUUCAGUUAUUUUUUUU